rnacentral:rRNA from 1 species
AUUGGACGCUGGCGGCAGGCCUAACACAUGCAAGUCGAGCGGAUGAAGGGAGCUUGCUCCUGGAUUCAGCAGCGGACGGGUGAGUAAUGCCUAGGAAUCUGCCUGGUAGUGGGGGAUAACGUCCGGAAACGGGCGCUAAUACCGCAUACGUCCUGAGGGAGAAAGUGGGGGAUCUUCGGACCUCACGCUAUCAGAUGAGCCUAGGUCGGAUUAGCUAGUUGGUGGGGUAAAGGCCUACCAAGGCGACGAUCCGUAACUGGUCUGAGAGGAUGAUCAGUCACACUGGAACUGAGACACGGUCCAGACUCCUACGGGAGGCAGCAGUGGGGAAUAUUGGACAAUGGGCGAAAGCCUGAUCCAGCCAUGCCGCGUGUGUGAAGAAGGUCUUCGGAUUGUAAAGCACUUUAAGUUGGGAGGAAGGGCAGUAAGUUAAUACCUUGCUGUUUUGACGUUACCAACAGAAUAAGCACCGGCUAACUUCGUG